rnacentral:rRNA from 1 species
CCUACGGGUGGCAGCAGUGGGGAAUAUUGGACAAUGGGGGGAACCCUGAUCCAGCCAUGCCGCGUGUGUGAAGAAGGCCCUCGGGUUGUAAAGCACUUUCAGUGAGGAAGAACGCCUGGUGGUUAAUACCCAUCAGGAAAGACAUCACUCACAGAAGAAGCACCGGCUAACUCCGUGCCAGCAGCCGCGGUAAUACGGAGGGUGCGAGCGUUAAUCGGAAUUACUGGGCGUAAAGCGCGCGUAGGUGGCUUGAUAAGCCGGUUGUGAAAGCCCCGGGCUCAACCUGGGAACGGCAUCCGGAACUGUCAAGCUAGAGUGCAGGAGAGGACGGUAGAAUUCCCGGUGUAGCGGUGAAAUGCGUAGAGAUCGGGAGGAAUACCAGUGGCGAAGGCGGCCUUCUGGACUGACACUGACACUGAGGUGCGAAAGCGUGGGUAGCAAACAGGAUUAGAGACCCUAGUAGUC